CCCCCCCCCCCCCCCCCCCCCCCCGCCGACGCAAGAACCAGGCCACCCUGGGGUAAACUAGGCAGACCUCCAAUUGUUUAUGAGCUCUGGAGAACAGUACUACUCAAACGCGUGGUGGUGUAUACUGGUUGAUAUUACCUGCAGGAUGUAAUACACUUUUUUCCCUAGCAACUAUUUUUUCUAUGGUCCACGCCCUACUUUCAAGUUUGUUAAGUGGAAAUGAAACAUUGCAUGCUUUUCUUUGAUAGAAUAUUCAUGAAUGUAUUUCCUUUGUCUUUGCAUUCCUUAGUUCAAUUGAUUUUUUUUUUUCAAUCUGAACAAAAAAAGCUUCACUUCAAUAGACCUUUUUUUUUCUCA